CCGAUUACUUUCGAUGGUAGUGUAUCGGAUACCAUGGCUUUCACGGGUAACAGGGAAUUAGGGUUCGAUUCUGGAGAAGGAGCCUGAGAACGGCUACUACAUCUACCUCCCGCCAGCAGGCGCGUAAAUUACCCAAUCCUGACUCAGGGAGGUGGUGACAAGAUAUAACAACGCAAUUUCAUUGUGAUUGUAGUGAGGGUAUUCCAAACCGAACCACUAGUACGAUUAGAGGGCAAGUCUGGUGCCAGCAGCCGCGGUAAUUCCAGCUCUAAUAGCGUAUAUUAAAGUUGCUGCAGUUAAAAGCUCGUAUUUUUUAUUUUAAGGAUUGUGUACUCUCUCAGAGUAUGCACCCUACUAGUCUUUGACUUGUUACUGUGAGAAAUUAGAGUGUUUAAAGCAGCUAUUGCAGAAUACAUUAGCAUGGAAUACGAAGACCAGAACCCGGCAAUCCAGGUUCGAUUAAAGAAACAGUUGGGGCAUAGAAUUACUUGUCAAGGUGAAUUCUUGGAUUUGUUAAGACUACGUAUGCAAAGCCUCUCGCCACGCAUGUUUUCAUUAAUCAAGAACGAAGAAAGGGAUCAAGAAAUCCGAUACUGGCGUAUUCUAUUUUUACCUAUGCCCGACUAGGAUGAUGAACCUCCCCAUUCAGUACUUAGAAAUCAGUCUUGGUCCGGGGGAAUUGUCCCGACUGACUAGAUGACGAGGCCCGAGUGAACCUGCGCUUAUUUGACUCCACCGGGACUCAGUCCGCAACAUAAAGAUGGCAGUGAGCCUCUCUGAUUGGUGGGCAGGCGCCUUAUUGGAG
rnacentral:rRNA from 1 species